rnacentral:rRNA from 1 species
GAUGAACGCUGGCGGCGUGCCUAAUACAUGCAAGUCGAGCGAACGGACGAGAAGCUUGCUUUUUUGAUGUUAGCGGCGGACGGGUGAGUAACACGUGGAUAGCCUACCUAUAAGACUGGGAUAACUUCGGGAAACCGGAGCUAAUACCGGAUAAUAUUUUGAACCGCAUGGUUCAAAAGUGAAAGACGGUCUUGCUGUCACUUAUAGAUGGAUCCGCGCUGCAUUAGCUAGUUGGUAAGGUAACGGCUUACCAAGGCAACGAUGCAUAGCCGACCUGAGAGGGUGAUCGGCCACACUGGAACUGAGACACGGUCCAGACUCCUACGGGAGGCAGCAGUAGGGAAUCUUCCGCAAUGGGCGAAAGCCUGACGGAGCAACGCCGCGUGAGUGAUGAAGGUCUUCGGAUCGUAAAACUCUGUUAUUAGGGAAGAACAUAUGUGUAAGUAACUGUGCACAUCUUGACGGUACCUAAUCAGAAAGCCACGGCUAACUACGUG